GGGCGGGUAGCGUAAUGGUCAGCGCAUUCACUGAGCGUAUUCUUUCCCUAAGCGAAAUCCAGCGUUGUUUUCUAAUUAUAUCAAAGCGUUCAUUGAAAGACCUGGGUUCGAAUCCCAGCCCGCCCA